AGGGGCGCUGCAGGAGGGGGUGACGGAUAUAAGGACUCGAGAUCCGCCGCGGGAAUGAUCCACGAACUACUCUUGGCUCUGAGCGGAUACCCAGGGUCCAUUUUCACGUGGAACAAGCGGAGUGGCCUCCAGGUGUCACAGGACUUCCCAUUUCUCCAUCCCAGUGAAACCAGCGUCCUGAAUCGACUCUGCCGGCUGGGCACAGACUAUAUUCGCUUCACCGAGUUCAUUGAACAGUACACGGGCCAUGUGCAGCAGCAGGAUCACCAUCCAUCUCAGCAGGGCCAAGGUGGGUUACAUGGAAUCUACCUAAGGGCCUUCUGCACAGGACUGGAUUCAGUUUUGCAGCCUUAUCGCCAAGCACUGCUUGAUUUGGAACAAGAGUUCCUGGCUGACCCCCAUUUGUCCAUAUCACAUGUCAAUUACUCCUUGGAUCAGUUCCAGCUCCUUUUCCCCUCUGUCAUGGUUGUGGUAGAACAAAUUAAAAGUCAAAAGAUUCAUGGUUGUCAAAUCCUGGAAACGGUAUACAAACACAGCUGCGGAGGUUUGCCCCCUGUUCGAAGUGCACUAGAAAAGAUCCUGGCCGUGUGUCAUGGGGUCAUGUAUAAGCAGCUCUCAGCCUGGAUGCUCCAUGGACUCCUCCUGGACCAGCAUGAAGAGUUCUUUAUCAAACAGGGUCCUUCUUCUGGGAAUGUCAGUGCCCAGCCAGAAGAGGACGAGGAGGAUCUGGGCAUUGGGGGACUGACAGGAAAACAGUUGAGAGAACUCCAGGACUUGCGCCUGAUAGAGGAAGAGAACAUGCUGGCACCAUCUCUAAAACAGUUUUCCCUACGAGUGGAGAUUUUGCCAUCCUACAUUCCAGUGAGGGUUGCUGAAAAAAUCCUGUUUGUUGGAGAGUCUGUCCAGAUGUUUGAAAACCAAAAUGUAAACUUGACUAGGAAAGGAUCCAUUUUGAAGAACCAGGAGGACACCUUUGCUGCAGAACUUCAUCGGCUCAAGCAGCAGCCACUCUUCAGCCUGGUGGACUUCGAGCAGGUGGUGGAUCGUAUUCGUAGUACUGUGGCUGAGCAUCUCUGGAAGCUGAUGGUAGAAGAGUCAGAUUUACUGGGUCAGCUGAAGAUCAUCAAAGACUUUUACCUUCUGGGACGCGGAGAACUGUUUCAGGCCUUCAUUGACACAGCUCAACACAUGUUAAAAACACCACCCACUGCAGUAACUGAACAUGAUGUGAAUGUGGCCUUCCAGCAGUCUGCACAUAAAGUAUUGCUGGAUGAUGACAACCUUCUCCCUCUGUUGCACUUGACGAUUGAGUAUCAUGGAAAGGACCAUAAAGAUGCUGCUCAGGCGAGAGAAGGGCCUUCUCGGGAAACUUCUCCCCGGGAAGCCCCUGCAUCUGGCUGGGCAGCCCUAGGUCUCUCCUACAAAGUGCAAUGGCCACUGCACAUUCUCUUCACCCCUGCUGUUCUGGAAAAGUACAAUGUCGUCUUCAAGUACCUGCUGAGCGUGCGCCGGGUGCAGGCUGAGCUGCAGCACUGCUGGGCCCUGCAGAUGCAGCGCAAGCACCUCAAGUCCAACCAGACCGACGCGGUCAAGUGGCGCCUGAGAAACCACAUGGCAUUCUUGGUGGACAAUCUGCAGUACUAUCUCCAGGUAGAUGUGCUGGAGUCUCAGUUCUCACAGCUGCUGCAUCAAAUCAACUCCACCCGAGACUUUGAAAGCAUCCGAUUGGCUCACGACCACUUCCUUAGCAACUUGCUGGCUCAGUCCUUUAUCUUGUUGAAACCUGUGUUUCACUGCCUGAAUGAAAUCCUAGAUCUCUGUCACAGCUUUUGCUCGCUGGUCAGUCAGAACCUGGGCCCACUGGAUGAACGUGGGGCUGCCCAGCUGAGCAUCCUGGUGAAGGGCUUUAGCCGCCAGUCGUCACUCCUAUUUAAGAUUCUCUCCAGCGUUCGCAAUCAUCAGAUCAACUCAGAUUUGGCUCAACUACUCUUACGACUAGAUUAUAACAAAUACUACACCCAGGCUGGUGGAACUCUGGGCAGGUAGGAGCAAGCCCUGGGGAACUCGGUGGACUGUGUGUGUGUGUGUGUGGCUUUUUAACAAAUUGUAAUUCCAGAGCUAGGAGGGUCUAGCCACGGUCUCAUCCAAAUAGCCUCAUUUUAUAAACAAACUAAGGCUCAGAGAGAAAAAGGGCUACAUCUGAUCAUCUUUAAUAAUUUUAAUGAAGCUUAUUUUCCAGUAAAAACCAUCAUCAUAGUAACAUACUAAAACCCCUGAUGCGGAGAUGGGUGUUUAGGUUUUGGCUGGGCUGAUGCCCUGCUGGGAAGCAGUGUGGCUGUGGUUCCCAGUUCUGACAUGAACUAGCUGUGCAGCCGCAGACCCCUGCCUGCCUCACCGGCCCCCAGCUUACAAGUCUGGGAAAGUUUCGGGAUGUGAAAACAUCUGGUUCACAAACUAACAGGCCCAUCAUGUUCCCAAAUCUGUGACAGAAGAUUCAAAACACUCCAGCCUUUCAACAAAUGCCUGCAGACUACUGAGGGCUCUACCUUUUUCUGCUAGAAGCAAUACUACUGAACACCCGUGGGCACAAAUGCUUCCCAUGUGGAAGGGUCUGCCCUACCUUAGGGGAGUUCGUCACUCACCCACCAUGGAAGACAUGUGGUGUCAGCUCUCCCUCUGCCGGCCUUGCCAGAUCCAGUCCACGGAGAACAUCCGUGGGGCACAUCCAUGCAUUGAGCACCUGCUAUGCGCCUAGGUACUGUUCAAGCUGCGAGACCCAGCAGUAAGAACUCCCACUUAUCUCACGCUGGUAAAAGGGCAAUCCUAGCUAUUGACAAUGUAUUAAAGUAGUAUUCUAACAAAGAAAAAAGGGCCCUUAAGAAAACUGAGGUCAAAUUCUUAAGAUUUCAAGUACUGAAAAUUACAGGUCUAAUUAUCCCCUCUUAGAAGAACCAUAGGAGUUGAGGUUCUCCUAACCUGGCCCAACCAUUACUGGUAAUUAUUAAUGUUCAUAUUGGUGUGAACCAAAAUACUCAUUGAACAACUCCCUCCAUACUGAACAAGAAUGCAGCAAUCCAGCCUCAGUCUGUAGCUACUGAAUCUGGUUCUUAUCUCUGCAUCUUCUACCACAUACUACGUCCUAUUUCCUACAGUUGUGUGCUGAGGAUGACCCCUUCCACUGCUGCCUGUGGAGAAGUUAGCAAACCAUGGCCUGCCACCUGUUGGUGUAAAUAAAGUUUUAUCGGAACCCA